rnacentral:rRNA from 1 species
AGCAACACGUAUCCAACCUGCCGUCUACUCUUGGCCAGCCUUCUGAAGGAAGAUUAAUCCAGGAUGGGAUCAUGAGUUCACAUGUCCGCAUGAUUAAAGGUAUUUUCCGGUAGACGAUGGGGAUGCGUUCCAUUAGAUAGUAGGCGGGGUAACGGCCCACCUAGUCAACGAUGGAUAGGGGUUCUGAGAGGAAGGUCCCCCACAUUGGAACUGAGACACGGUCCAA